AUGGGCAUAUCUGAAGAAGGAAACUUGCUCAGCACCGUGAGCCCCACAGUGAAAGCACUUUUUGGCAAGACUAGAGUCUCACCGAUUUUCCCUUUCUCUCCUCGAUCUCCUUUCCAGCCUCUUAUUCCCCGGACUCCUGGCUCACCCUGGGGCCCCGUGGGUCCAGCUUCUCCUUUGGGACCAGGCUUUCCAAUAGGGCCCAUGGGGCCCGGUAAACCAGUUGGGCCCAAAGGCCCAAUGUUGCCCCUUGGCCCCUCAGGACCAGUGGGACCCACGUCACCCUUAUUCCCCUUCUGCCCCUGA
rnacentral:lncRNA from 1 species